UCACACCAUGGGAGUGGGUUGCAAAAGAAGUAGGUAGCUUAACCUUCGGGAGGGCGCUUACCACUUUGUGAUUCAUGACUGGGGUGAAGUCGUAACAAGGUAACCGUAGGGGAACCUGCGGUUGGAUCACCUCCUUACCUUAAAGAAGC
rnacentral:rRNA from 1 species